CCUACGGGAGGCAGCAGUGGGGGAUAUUGCACAAUGGGGGAAACCCUGAUGCAGCGACGCCGCUUGGGCGAAGAAGUAUUUCGGUAUGUAAAGCCCUAUCAGCAGGGAAGAAGAAAUGACGGUACCUGAGUAAGAAGCACCGGCUAAAUACGGGCCAGCAGCCGCGGUAAUACGGAGGGGGCAAGCGGUAUCCGGAUUUACGGGGGGUAAAGGGAGCGCAGGCGGCACGGCAAGCCUGAUGGGAAAGCCCGCGGCCCAACCGCGGGACUGCAUUGGGAACUACCGGGCUGGAGUGCCGGAGAGGUAGGCGGACUUCCUAGUGUCGCGGUGAAAUGCGUCGAUAUUAG
rnacentral:rRNA from 1 species